UACGAAGGGGGCUAGCGUUGCUCGGAAUCACUGGGCGUAAAGGGUGCGUAGGCGGGUUUUUAAGUCAGGGGUGAAAUCCUGGAGCUCAACUCCAGAACUGCCUUUGAUACUGAAGAUCUUGAGUUCGGGAGAGGUGAGUGGAACUGCGAGUGUAGAGGUGAAAUUCGUAGAUAUUCGCAAGAACACCAGUGGCGAAGGCGGCUCACUGGCCCGAUACUGACGCUGAGGCACGAAAGCGUGGGGAACAAACGGG
rnacentral:rRNA from 1 species